rnacentral:lncRNA from 1 species
UUUUGCAAGCGCUUAGUUUUAUUUUUGUUGUACUUGCGUGUUUCAAAAUAAUAUAUAUACUAUGUAUUACAAUAUUUUAUAUAUAUAUAUAUAUACAUAUGUAUAUGCGAUUAUUAGUAAGCUCGUAUAUGUACAUACGUCAGGUUAAUCAUAAAAGUAAUUUCACUUUUUUUUUAUAUUUACAUAUUUCUUAUAUUUAUUUAGUUUUUAUUUAGUUUUUAUUUAGUUUUUAUUCAGUUUUUAUUCUGCUUUUUUUUGUUUUUAUUUUGUUUUUAUUUUUAGAUUAAAUUUAUUUUAAAUUUUACGCCAAUUCAUUAUAUUUAUACACUUGUUUAAGGAAUUGUUUAUUCAUACUAUUGUUUAUAAAUAAUGUACGUAAAACUAGCAACAUAAACAUAUACAUAAAUCAGACUUUAAAUAACAAAGAGUUGCAAAUAUAUAUAUAUAUAUAUAUAUAUAUAUCUAUAUAUGUACUUGUUUUUGUACAUAUGUAUAAUCAUAUAAACAUAAUUAAAAAAACAAGAAAGAUAUUUUCUAUUUUUUUGUUUUAUAAAUUAUUUAUUCUUAAUUUGUUCGAUUUUUUUUUUUUUUUUUUUUAGCUUAUUUUUUUCGUGUGUUUGUUUAACUCUUAUUUUGUAAAUGUCUUUAUUUAAUUAUUAAUUUGUUCCCUUGUUUAUUUUUUCAUUUUUUUUUGUUUUUUUUUUUUUGUUUUUUUGAAAAAUGAAAAUUUUUUCUUUUUUAUUCCCCUUUGUUGUGUUAUUUAUAUCUUUCAACAAUGUUAAUUGUUUGUUCGAUGAUGUGCUCAGCAGAUUCUAUUGCAACAAUGAAAACUGUUACGAAAUUUUAGGCGCAAAACGUAGUGCGACAAACGAAGAGAUAAGGAACUUAUUUUUUAUGAAGAAAAGGAUGUUUAGUAAUCAUCCAGACCCGGAGUUAAGAAAAAAACUAAUAAAAGCAUAUACAGUUUUAUCCAAUAAACUAACUCGAAGGUACUAUGACUAUUAUUUAAAUAACCCCCACAGUAUAUUUAAUAUAAUACAUUUUAAUAUUUAUUAUAUUUAUAAAAUUAUAAAAAUAAUAAUAGCAUUAACAAUUGUUAUGUUUAUCUUAUCUUUAUUUAAUUAUAUGUAUAAAAAAUAUGAAAUAAAAAAAGUACUUAUAGCGUUAAGAAAAAAUAAACAUUUUAAUAAACAAGUACAGAGUACUAUACUUUCAAAACAUCCAAACUAUCGAACGUAUGAUACCAUAGAAAGAACAAAAAUACAUGACGAAAUUGAAUUAGAAGUAGCAGAUAGUUUUAGUCCUAUUACUAACUCUAUGAAUUUAAAAAUUUCUUUACUAAAUGAUUUUAUUAUAUUCAAAUUAUUUUUUUUACUUAAACAAAUAUAUUUAUAUAUAAAUUGGUAUAUACUAUGGAUAAUUAAUUAUAACAUCUUAAAUAAAGAAUAUACAGAAGAUGAUAAAAUUUAUAUCACUAGAACUUGUGUGAGAUUAUCUGCACAAAAAUGGAAUGUAUUAUCAAAUGAAGAAAAAAAAUAUUUUAAUGAAAAAACAAUUAUGGAUAAAACAAAAUAGAAAAGAGUUUUUAAAUGAAUUAAAAGAAAAAGAAAAAAUAAACAAAAUGUCACGUGCUAAAUAUAAAAAACA